UAAGGAAUAUUGGUCAAUGGACGCAAGUCUGAACCAGCCAUGCCGCGUGAAGGAUGAAGGUCCUCUGGAUUGUAAACUUCUUUUAUCUGGGACGAAAACGGGAUUUUUAUCUCAAUUGACGGUACCAGAGGAAUAAGCACCGGCUAACUCCGUGCCAGCAGCCGCGGUAAUACGGAGGGUGCGAGCGUUAUCCGGAUUUACUGGGUUUAAAGGGUGCGUAGGUGGGUAUGUAAGUCAGUGGUGAAAUCCCCGAGCUUAACUUGGGAACUGCCAUGGAUACUAUGUAUCUUGAAUACCGUAGAGGUAAGCGGAAUAUGUAAUGUAGCGGUGAAAUGCUUAGAUAUGACAUGGAACACCAAUUGCGAAGGCAGCUUACUAUGCGGUGAUUGACACUGAGGCACGAAAGCGUGGGUAGCAAACA
rnacentral:rRNA from 1 species